ensembl:lncRNA PMS2P4 PMS1 homolog 2, mismatch repair system component pseudogene 4
AGGAGGCGGGGCGCCUGUGGGAGUCGUGGAGGGAACUUUCCCAGGCCCCGAGGCGGAUCGGGUAUUGAGUCCAUGGAGCGAGCUGAGAGCUAGAGAACCUGCUAAGGCCAUCAAACCUAUCGAUCGGAAGUCAGUCCAUCAGAUUUGCUCUGGGCCGGUGGUACUGAGUCUAAGCACUGCGGUGAAGGAGUUAGUAGAAAACAGUCUGGAUGCUGGUGCCACCAAUAUUGAUCUAAAGCUUAAGGACUAUGGAGUGGAUCUCAUUGAAGUUUCAGACAAUGGAUGUGGGGUAGAAGAAGAAAACUUUGAAGGCUUAACGAUGUCACCAUUUCUACCUGCCACGCAUCGGCGAAGGUUGGGACUCGACUGGUGUUUGAUCACGAUGGGAAAAUCAUCCAGAAAACCCCCUACCCCCACCCCAGAGGGACCACAGUCAGCGUGAAGCAGUUAUUUUCUACACUACCUGUGCACCAUAAGGAAUUUCAAAGGAAUAUUAAGAAGACGUGCCUGUUUCCCCUUCGCCUUCUGCCGUGAUUGUCAGUUUCCUGAGGCCUCCCCAGCCAUGCUUCCUGUACAGCCUGCAGAACUGACUCCUAGAAGGACCCCACCCCCCUCCCCCAACCCCUGCUCCCAGGAGGACACGUGAUCACUGUAUUCAGCUCCAUCAAGAAUGGUCCAGGUUCUUCUAGAUGAUCUGCACAAAUGGUUCCUCUUCUCCUUCCUGGUGUCUGCCAUUAGCAUUGGAAUAAAGUUCCUGCUGAAAAUCCACA